rnacentral:rRNA from 1 species
UAGGGAAUCUUCCACAAUGGCGCAAGCCUGAUGGAGCAACGCCCGCGUGAGUGAAGAAGGUCUUCGGAUCGUAGAACUCUGUUGUUAGAGAAGAACAUGCAGGAGAGUAACUGUUCUUGUAUUGACGGUAUCUAACCAGAAAGCCACGGCUAACUACGUGCCCG